CACUUAGACCGAUUUCGGCCCGUUUUGUGGAACCGCUUGGAAUCUCCCCUUUUUUACAUCUUGAGACAUAAUUUCAGCAGAUUUCAGCAAUGAAGGGCGAGCCCAAGUGUUGUAGCCUUUUUCUGCUGAUAGCUGGACAGGAGCAAGUGUUCCACCGCGUCCACUUCUUCCUCGUCUCUAAAGCUACGGCAGAAAUCAGUGGUGAGAAGACUUCCGCUGCUGCAAAGCGCUGAGCUAAGCCCAGUUGCUUGGUGAUCGUCAUUUUUGAUUGGACCAGCCAACUGUUUGUGACUCCGUGGAGUCGUAUUUGUCUAACUGUUAUCACACAUUCAUUAAAUAUUGGAUUUUCGCAGUAAGAUUUAAAGGUUUCCUCUAAAUAUCAUCCAAUUGAAGCUGGAGUACCACAGGAAAGCGUUCUCGUCUCCACAGCAGUCUUACAACAACUUCGACAUUCUCUGAUGAUACUGCCAUCCUAAGUCACCACAAGGGCCCAACAAGAGCAACGGAACACUUAUCAUCUUAUCUCGUGGCCUUGGAAAAAUGACUAGCAGACUGGAGCAAAAGUACAAACACCUUUACCCUGAACAGACAAACUUUCGCACCAGUGUCUCUGAACAACAUCAAGAUUCCUCAGACAACCGAGGUAACAUACCUGGGUGUCCAUUUGGACUAAGGGCUCACAUUUGGCGUCAACACAUCCAAGCGAAGAGAAAUCUACUGAAAUUUUAAGCUUCUAAUAUA